rnacentral:lncRNA from 1 species
GGUGAGAUUCUUAUUGCACAGGAUGAUAUUCCGAGCAGAUCUCAAAAUAAGAGGAGCACAAUAUAUGAUGGAGAUGGGAUCGAGUGGCUUGGCUCGACUUCCAUGUCUGUCUAUCCAUAAUCAGCAGGUGAUUGUCCCAGAACAUGGGGCUGAGAAGAACCAAAAGCUUUCAGAGUUAGAAAGUCAAAUAUUGAGUCGAGAUAGAGAUUGUUAGAUUUGAUGCCUCAAGAUUCAAUCCACACUGAGCCCAC